rnacentral:rRNA from 1 species
AUGACGGCCAGCCGCCGCCUCCUCCCGCCGUCGCCGGCGGCGCCCCUGUCGCCGCUGGAAGUGGAGGAUCUGCUCAUCGAGAUCCUCCUCCGCCUCUCUCCGCUGCCCUCGUCUCUCCCCCGCGCCUCCGCCGUCUGCAAGCGCUGGCGCCACCUCAUCUCCGACCCGGACUUCCUCGUCCGCUUCCGCCUCCACCACCGCCCCAACCCUCCCCUCCUCGGUUUCUUCGUCACGGAUUGGAUGCGCUGCCUCAUCGGCUUCCUGCCUCUUGUGCGCCCCGGCGUCCCCGAUCUCGUCCGCACCAAUUGCUUCUGCCAGAACCACCAGAUCCUCAGCUGCCGCCAUGGCCUCCUACUCAUCUUCCUCGUCAAGGAGUCCCAGUUCCAGGUGUGGGACCCCGUCACCGGCGUCCGCCACUUGAUCGACCCCCCUCCAGCACAGAGUCUGCCAGCUUGGGUCAACGGAGAGGUGCUUCGAGAUGCGAGAGACGAUGACCAUUUCAAGAUUGUUCUGGCGGAUGUUGAGGGUCCGCGAGCAAUCGCCUGCGUCUACUCGUCGGAGACCAGCAAGUGGGGUGAUCUCGUCUCAGCGGUUCUUCCACCCAGGGCUUCCAUCGGCGGCCCUCCUGCCAUGAAGUUCUCCAGGAUGAAUGCCCUGCUUGUUGAAAAAUCUCUUUAUUGGCUUCUCUUUGACGUGCCGACGAACUUUAGUGAGGCCUUCAGGGGCGUUCUUUGUGCAAGUAGCAUCCUUGAAUUUGAUGUGGAGAGGCAGAGCCUAAGCGUGGAUCGUGUGCCAGCAAACCUACACCACCCCAAAGACCAUGAGAUUUCCGUGAUCAAAGAAAGGGGUGUUGGACUUUGUUUACUCAUCGUGUGA